rnacentral:misc_RNA from 1 species
UCUGCGCCACUUAAGCCGCGUGAUCGAAUUCUGCGGCGGCUUGCUGUACUUGGAGUUCCUGAUGAGCUAUUGGACCAACUGUUUCGUGGUUUAGUUUCUUUUGUCAAGGACAACAAGUUUCUGAUACCACAGCUGGUAUCUGCAAUUUUGCCUACUGAUGUCGAAGUGGUAGAAGUUAUACGAGAAGCUAAAGCAGGGUCGAAAAAAUCUCUGACAAGCCCAACCAUGAAAG